rnacentral:rRNA from 1 species
ACGAAGGGUGCAAGCGUUACUCGGAAUUACUGGGCGUAAAGCGUGCGUAGGUGGUUUGUUAAGUCUGAUGUGAAAGCCCUGGGCUCAACCUGGGAACUGCAUUGGAUACUGGCUUACUGGGGUGCGGUAGAGGGGUGCGGAAUUCCCGGUGUAGCAGUGAAAUGCGUAGAUAUCGGGAGGAACAUCCGUGGCGAAGGCGGCACCCUGGGCCAGCACUGACACUGAGGCACGAAAGCGUGGGGAGCAAACAGGA